AUCGUUUCUCAGCCUUUUGGCUAAGAUCAAGUGUAGUAUCUGUUCUUAUCAGUUUAAUAAUUGGUAGAACUAGGCCUAGAGGAGGGCCUAGAGGAAGGGGGCAGGCAAGCUUCAAACAGUAGAAAGAUAUGAGGUAAUGGGGAGGCAAUAGCACUUCAUGUUUUAUUUUCAGUUUUGAUCUUCUGAUUCUUU